GCAUGGCCGAAUUCUGAUUUACUCGUGAAGUAGUAAACUCAGUCAGACACCAUGCGAAAUAAACAAUUUUCACAGACUUUACAAUGAAUGAGCAAUCCCUCAACUCAUUCUGCUGUCAGUGAUUAACAUU